rnacentral:rRNA from 1 species
GACGUAGGGCGCGAGCGUUGUCCGGAUUUAUUGGGCGUAAAGAGCUCGUAGGCGGCUUGUCGCGUCGAAUGUGAAAUCCCGAGGCUCAACUUCGGGCUUGCAUUCGAUACGGGCAGGCUAGAGUUCGGUAGGGGAGACUGGAAUUCCUGGUGUAGCGGUGAAAUGCGCAGAUAUCAGGAGGAACACCGAUGGCGAAGGCAGGUCUCUGGGCCGAUACUGACGCUGAGGAGCGAAAGCGUGGGGAGCGAACAGG